rnacentral:rRNA from 1 species
CGAACGCUGGCGGCGUGCUUAACACAUGCAAGUCGAACGGAAAGGCCCUGCUUGCAGGGUACUCGAGUGGCGAACGGGUGAGUAACACGUGGGUGAUCUGCCCUGCACUUCGGGAUAAGCCUGGGAAACUGGGUCUAAUACCGGAUAGGAGCCAUUUUUAGUGUGAUGGUUGGAAAGUUUUUUCGGUGUAGGAUGAGCUCGCGGCCUAUCAGCUUGUUGGUGGGGUAAUGGCCUACCAAGGCGGCGACGGGUAGCCGGCCUGAGAGGGUGGACGGCCACAUUGGGACUGAGAUACGGCCCAGACUCCUACGGGAGGCAGCGGUGGGGAAUAUUGCACAAUGGGCGCAAGCCUGAUGCAGCGACGCCGCGUGGGGGAUGACGGCCUUCGGGUUGUAAACUCCUUUCGCUAGGGACGAAGCUUUUUGUGACGGUACCUAGAUAAGAAGCACCGGCUAACUACGUG